UAGGAUUUAUGGUUUAGGGUUUGAAUUAAGGUUUGGUUUAGGAUUAGGAUUUGGUUAGGGUUUGGUUUAGGGAUUAGGAUUUGGAUUAGGGUUUGAUUUAGGAUUUAGGAUUUGAAUUAGGAUUUGAUUAGGAUUUAUUUAGGAUUUAGGGUUUGGUUAGGAUUUGUUUAGGAUUUGGUUUAGGAUUUAGUUAGGGUUUUAUUUAGGAUUUAGGAUUUUAUUAGGAUUUAAGAUUCAAUUAGUUUUGGCCUAAAGUUUUAAUGAAGUUCAAUAGGAUUUUAACUAGAAUUAAAUUAAGAUUGAAUUGAGAUAUAUUUAUGUGAUAUUUGUGAUCCUUCUAAUAUUUCUUUAAGAAUUUUUAUUGUUUGUUUGAAAUUUCUUUGAGGUUUUUUUGAAUUUGAUUAAGCUUGCUUAGCAUUAUUAUGGUCUAAUUAGAGCAUUAUUAGUAUUCUAUUAGAAUUAGGAUUUUGUUAUUACAAUUUCCAUUCUUCCUUCUACAGCCAAGUGCCCGGAGCAUUUUCAAGCAAGACUUCAUAUAUUACGACAUAUUUGGUGAACCCGACAUGAAACGCUUGAAAUAGAAGGAAUUUGGUUUUCUUGGAUUAUUUGAAUUUUAGAGAAGAAAUACAAGAAAAUUGGGAGGUUUGAAGGAUGGAACUUCACUAAGUUUUUGCAAGUUUAUACAUGUGAGAUGGAGACAUGUCAAAUCCUUGAGGCAAAGAUGAUCUCAAGCUUACAUUUGGCUAUUGAACCUAGAUUUCAUAAACAAGUGAAGAAAUUGCUUGGAGGGGAUGUAGAAACAUGGUCAAUAUUUCAAGAACUUUUGAAGGAAGAAUUUAUUGAUGGAAAUGGGGAUAAGAUUACUAAGCGAAAGUUUUUGGUUUGGAUAGAGUUGCAAUCAAGCAAGCAUAUGGAUCUUUAUGAAUUCUUAGAAGAAUUUGAUAGAAGAUUUUAUCAACUCUCAUCCUUGGAGAGACGAUCAUUGGGUGCUUUAAAGGUAGAUUUGUUUUUACAUGGUCUUGAUAAUGCCUUGGGAGAUGAGGUUUUCAUGCUUCUUGAAGAUGAGUCUACGGAGAGUGAUUAUACUAAUAAUUGGGAGAAGUUGAAGGAAGUAGUGGUUGUUUUAGUAAAGCAACAAGAAGCAAAAGCUAAGAAGUUCCAAUGUGGCCUAAGAAAUCUUCUACUUUGGCUUCUAUGUCAUCUUUAUCAAUGCAAGGGAUUAAUCUUAAAAAAAAAGAAAUAGAAGAGCAAAUAGGGGAUUUUAAUGGAGAAGCCAAUUCUUUACAGAUGAAAGAAAUUGGAUCUUAUACCAAGGGUGGUGAAGGAGAGAAGAAAGAUUCUUUUCAAACUAUUACUAUGGAAGGCCAAGGUAUCCAAAAAUUUGAAGGUAAUGUGAAGAUUAAGGAUUUGGAAACUAAUGACAAUGUAGUUGGAAGCUAUGACUAUUCUAUAUUAAAUAAGCUUGUGCAAGUUGGUGAUGGCAAUUUGGGUAAAAAAUCUCUUGGUGAUAAAAAGGUAUUUUCUACAUUUGAAGGAGGUGAGGAUGUUUUGCCUAUUACGUUGGAUUGUGUUGAAGAAUUUAAGGUUGAAUCUUUACAAAAAAUGGAUUAUGGAUCCAUUGAAGGUUAUAAUCAUGAAGAUUGUAUGAAUUCACAACAUUAUGAUGUGAGAAGUGGUGGGAUUAUGCAUGGAUAUGAUGAUAAAAAUCAAAUUGCAUAUGGCUAUGAGACCACAUAUGAGUUGGGUGAAAGAAGUUAUGAGUUUUCACAUGAUUAUUAUAAAGAGGGUUAUGAAAUUGCACAAGGUUAUGAUACUAAAUGUAGUUGUGAAACCACAAAGGAUUAUUGUGAAAGUUAUGAGACUUUUCAAGAGCAUGAGAUUUCAAAGGAGCAUGAGAAUUUUCAAUAUUAUGAGGUUAUACAAUGCUUUGAGACAAUAAAAGAUUAUGAUGUUUUACAAGGAUGCAUUCAAGAAGAUAUGAAGGAUGUUAUACAAGAUUAUGUGGCAAAUGAAGUUUAUGGGACAGUGUCAAGGACAAGAACUCGAUGAAAAAAUAAUUCAGACAAGUGAGCCUUCACUCAAAGAGAGAUAACAAAAUAUAUAUAAACAAGUAUAUAUAUUGAAAUAGAAACUGGAAUGGCUAUUGCUAAAAGACAAGAAAACUAGAGACCCUUGAAACUAGACUAGAAGCAAGAAAGGAGUUGACAAGAGUGAAGAAGCCUUCACUCUUGUCUGUAUAUAUACUAUCUAACUAGGAGCUACGUGGCGACGUUCUAUAGGACCUCCAAUAUGUGUUGAUUUUGUAGGACACAUGCCUUGACUUACAAGGCAAGUUUUUUCUACGUGUGGGCCACAUAGUUAGCUUGAUCUUCAAGCUAACAACAUGUGUGGCACAUGGCCAACUUGUUGACCACGUUUCUAAUCCAAAAAAUCAAUUAAAGACACCUAUAAAGUCAAAGCAGUGUCUAGGGAGCUUCUAAAAAGCUUCCAUAUUAAAUAUUAUAGAAUUAACUUACUUUUACCUACUUUUACUUACUUCCACCUAUUUGUAUAUGUAAUUAUUAGCUUACAUGAUUAUGGCCAUGACAGACAGAAGAUAAGGAUGCUAAGUCAUUGACUAUGAUUAACUUAAUUGUGAGUACUUUUCUUUUGGACCAAGGUCAAAGUUACAUAAAUAAUGCACAUGUAAUGGAGACACAAUUGGAUUUUCACAAAGAUAAGGUUUAUCAUCAAGUAUGGAAUUCAAGGGUUGAAAAUCUAAAAAUCUUUAAAUAUAAAGAUGAGAGAAAUGGAUUUAAAGAUUACUUGGAUACCAUAAAUGGGACUUGGAAUCAAAGAAAUAAGAAAAAAGAUACAAACAAGAUAUAUGUGGCUAUGCGGAAGAGGUUUCAAUUCAAUCUUUUAAUUUCAAAUUUUGUACCUCGUCAAUGGUUUGAUCAUGUGUAAAGGAGGAUAUUUGUAAACUACUUGCACACGAGGAGUAAAUGGUAACAUUGGCAUUAACUAUGGAGGUAAAAAAAAGAAGGAGGUAUUCUUACAAGAUAUAGAUGCCUUUGAUUUCAAUUUUAUUGAAAAAAAAAAAUAAAAAUAAAAAUGGAGAAGUAUCAUUGUAAAGCAAGACUAUGGAGUUAUAAAAAGGAAGGUACAUUUACAAGAUAUAGAUGCCUUUGAUUUAAGUUUUAUUCAAAAAAAAAAAAAAAAAAAAGAUUUUGGAGAAGUAUUAUUGUAAAGCAAGACUAUGAAGGUAUAAAACAGAAGAUACAUUUAUAAGAUAUAGAUGCGUUUGAUUUCAAUUUUAUUGGGAAAAAAAAAAGAUUUUGAAAAAGUAUCAUUGUAAAGCAAGACUAUGGAGGUAUGAAAAGGAGGUACUUUUAUAAGAUGUAGGUACUUUUGAUUCAAGUUUAUUGGCAUUCAAUAUAUAUAUGUAUAUAUAUAUAUAUAUAUAUAUAUAUAUAUAUAUAUAUAUAUAUAAGUUAUGAAUAUUAAAAGAUGAUGAGAGAUUUUUGGUAUUUAUCAAGAAAAUGGAUUGGAAGAUUUUUGAAAAAAAUUACAUAUAUUAAAUUAAAGGAUGAUGGUAAUGGAAGCGAGUGAAGAUAUUUAAAUAAAAUCAAAUAUAAAUAAUUAUAGAAGACUUUAUCAAAGAUAUAAAUCUUUCAAGACAACAAGAUGACUUUGAUUUGAAUAGCAAAUAUGAAGAACACGAAUUGGAUGAGGAUAUUGAAAAUAUUGUAUAAAUCAAACAAAGUUGGAUUAUUUGGUACAUACCGGAGGAUGCAAAAGUUUAAGGGGGGUGGAUGUCGUGAUGUAACACGGAUAACAAGUGAAAGGGUGAAGAAAAUAUCAUGUUUUGAGGAUCUCACUUCAAAAAUAUUAUAGCAAAUUAUCUUGGAAAAAUAGAUAUUAGUCAAAGGAUAGAAAAAUUAAAGGUGCCAAUGUGUCAAGGACAAGAAUUCAAUGAAAAAGAAAUUCAGACAAGUGAGCCUUUACUCAAAGAAAGAUAACAAAAUACAAAUAAACAAGUAUGUAUAUUGAAAGAGAAACUGGAAUGGCUAUUGCCAAAAGACAAGAAAACUAGAGAUCCUUGAAACUAGACUAGAAGCAAGAAAAGACUUCACAAGAGUGAAGAGGGCUUCACUCUUGUCUCUAUAUAUACUAUCUAACUAGGGGCUAUAUGGCGACGUUCUAUAGGACCUCCAAUACGUGUUGACUUUGUAGGACACAUGCCUUGACUUACAAGGCAAGUUUUUCUAUGUGUGGGCCAUAUAGUUAGCUUGAUCUUCAAGCUAACAACAUGUGUGGCACAUGGCCAACUUAUUGACCACGUUUCUAAUCCAAAAAGUUAAUUAAAAACACCUAUGAAGUCAAAGUAGCAUCUAUGAAGCUUCUAGAAAGCUUCCAUAUUAAAUAUUAUAGAAUUAACUUACUUUUACCUACUUUUACUUACUUCCAUCUAUUUGUAUAUGUAAUUACUAGCUUACAUGAGUAUAUCCGUGACAUUACCCCCCCUUUUAGAGAUGAGUUCCACAAGGAGCUGUCAUCAUAUGUUGAAAAAAUCUAUGAUGUGACGAAUUAUAUUUGCCACAUACUCUUAUCUUUGUUCUCUUUAAAGACGAUUGAUAGGGCCUCUCAACCAUCGGUAGUGUCCCAUACCAAGGCGGGAAGACCAUCCAGUUAUUUGAUCAUUGUUGAGGCCUUCAUAACUUCCUUCGAAUAGAACAUUUGGAACACCAUCAGGAGUUGUUCCUACCUCUAGUAAAAUCACUAAACAUCGGGAGUCCCUUCUCAAACCGUGAUACCAAAUGCGUUGUAUCUCGCCAUCUAUUCGAGGAAGAACAUGUCAUUCUUGAAGAUCUUCAUUUCGAUUGUGUCAUCUUGAAGGUUGUGACAAUCGUAAUGUCUCGUCCGACAAGUCAGCAAAUGAAGGCUCUUGAGUUGAAUCCGCUGGUUGUUGGUUCUCCAUCUCCUGAGCGUCACAACUACAAAGAAGCUACGAACAACGAUUGAAAAUAGAAUGUUAUCUUGCUUAGAUAUUGUUUCUUUUAUAAAGAAGGUUUUCAUCUUGAUUUUGAUGGAUGUCAUCGAUGAAAAGCCUCCAUCGCCUUUGCUGCAUUUACAAGAUUCUUUAUUGGCUCCCAUGUGCGUUCACUAAUAUCAUAUCCUCGCCAAUAGACAAGAUAUUCCAAUUUAUUUCGGUGUCGCCUUGAAUCUAAAACUUCUUUUACUUCAAAUUCUUCAUUAUUGUCCACUUGUAUAGGAUGAGGUGGAGCUUGUCGUCUUCGUGGUAUAUACACUGUCUUGUAUGGUUCAAGAAGAGACACGUGGAAUACUAGAUGGAUUUUCAUUAACAACGAUAGAUGUAAACGAUAUGUAACUGGAUUGAUUUGUACAGAAAAAGAAAAUGGUCUAAGUCUUUGAUAGUUCAACUUAUCACAAGGACGAGUGGUCUUGAUAUUGCGACAAAGUAGUCAUACCUUAUCACCUAAGAGGAAUGGUGGUUGUUCCUUUCGAUAGACAUCCGCAUUGACCUUUUGUUAUUCUUGAGCCUCUUUUCACUACGCCUUUAUCAUUGCAUGUAGCUCUGAUAAAUGAAUCGCCAAAUCUUUCGUAGCAGGAUUAUCAACUUUUAAAAAGUCAAAAGUAUCAAGUUGUGGAUGAUAACCAUAAUUAGCAAAGAAAGGUGUUUGUUUUGUAGAAGAAUGUACCGUGUUUUUGUAAGCAAACUCUGCCAAUGGCAAAAGAGUUGUCCAAUCAUCUUGUUGGUAAUUAAUGGUACAUCUUAAAUAUUGCUCCAAAACUUGAUUAACAUGCUCCGUUUGUCCAUCAAUUUGAGGAUGGAAUGUCGAAGAUAGUUUUAUAUCUAUUUUAAGAAUCUUAAAAAGAGUCUACUAAAAUCUUGAUACAAAUUGAGUUCUUCUAUCUGAUAUAAUAUCCUUGGGUAAUCCAUGAUAGCGAUAGAUAUUGUCAAGAAAGAGCUUAGCUGUUUCUUCACCUGUGAUAGAUUUUGUACAUGGUACAAAAUAUGCCAUCUUGGUAAAAAAAUCUACUAUCACGAAUAUAGAGUCAUAAGAACCUAAGAUUGGAAGAUCCAUGAUGAAGUCCAUAGAAACAGAAGACCAUAGUUAUUCUUGAAUGGGUAAUGGCUGAAGAACUCCAAAAGGUCGAUGACGAGGAGUUUUUGAUCUUGAGCAAACAUCACAUGAUUGUACAAAAUCUUUGACUACCUUCUACAUUUGAGGCCACCAAAAAUCCCUAGAUAUCACCUCCAAAGUCUUAUUAUAUCCAAAAUAUCCUGCUGCAGGAAAGUCAUGACGAGCUUGAAGAAUACGUAAACGUGCUUCUCCUUCUGGAACAUAUAGACAUUCUUUGAAAUAGAAUAGAUUGUUCUUGAAUUCAAAUUUAGAGGGAUCAUGAGAUUUAGAAGAAUUAUUCUUGAUAUCAUGAACAAGAGGAUCUGAAGACAUACUUAAUUAAACUUACUUAAGAAAAGUUAAAUCAACAGUCAAUGUUGAUUUUAUUGCUUGAAGAUGAAAUUGCUCUAGCUUCAAGAGAACCAUUCUUUGUUGCUCAAAAGCUACAUCUCCUUCUUUUGGUGCAAGAUAAGAAUGUCUAGACAAGGCAUCGAACAAAUCUUAUUGUUUUCCUGGCCAAUAAGUGAUGUUGAACUCGUAUCUUGAUAAAGACAUGCUCCAACGAGCUUGACGACGAUUUAAUACACGUACUGAUAUAAAAUACUUGAGGUUCUUGUGAUUCGUUUACACAAUGAUUGGACUAGAAGCGCCUUCAAGAUAAUGAUGCCACUCUUUAAAAGAAUCUACGAUUGUAAGAAGUUCUUUGUCGUGGAUCUCAUAAUUGAUUAAUGCUGUUGAGAAUUUUCUUGAAUGAAACGCUACUAGAUGAAGUUUGUCAUCUGUUCUCAUUUGUGAUAAAACCGCACCCAGAGCAAAGUCUGAUACAUUUGUUUCCAUAAAGAAUGCUUUGGAUAACUCAACAUGAUACAAGAUUGGUGCAGAAACAAACACUGUCUUCAAAGAUUCAAAAGUAACUUCCGCUUCUUGAUUCCAUUAGAAUUUGUCUUUACAAGUCAAACGUGUAAGUAGAGCUGCAACUCGAGAGAAGUCCUUGAUGAAGAUUCGAUAGUAGUUGGAAAAUCCCAAAAAACAUUGGACAUCUCUUACCAUUUUUGAGAUCUUCCAAUCUAUAAUAGUUUGAACUUUCUUAGGAUCCAUCAUAAGUCCAUCAUUUGAAAUGAUGUAACCUAAGAAAUCGACUUGAGUAGUGUGGAAUACUCACUUUUCUAUCUUGGCAUAGAGUCCUGCAUCUCUUAAUUUUUGUAACACAUGACGAACAUGAAGUUCAUGUUCUUCUAGAUUCUUAGAAUAAAUCAAGAUGUCAUCUAGAUAACAAACCACAAAAUCGUCCAAAAACUCUCGAAAAACAUCAUUCAUUAGAUGUUGAAAAGCUAUUGGUGCAUUUGUUAGUCCAAAAGGCAUGACGUUGUAUUCAAAAUGUCCAUACCUAGUUCGAAACAGAGUCUUCCAUUCAUCUCCUUCUUUGAUGCGUACUAGAUUGUAUGCUCCCCGAAGAUCUGUUUUUGUAUAGAUCUUAGCUUGAUUCAGCUGAUCAAGAAGUCCAGAUAUUAAAGGUAGUAGAUAUCUGUUCUUGAUGGUAAUCUUGUUGAAUCCUCGAUAAUCAACACACAUCCGCAAUGAUCCAUCUUUUUUCUUCACAAAUAGAAUUGGAGCUCCUGCCGGAGAUUUAGAAUGGCAUAUGAAAUUCUUGACUAGAUUUUCUUCAAUAUACUCCUUGAGUUCAGUCAACUCAUUUUGUGAUAAACUGUAGAUUGGUUCGAAUGGCGGUUGUGCUUCUUCUUGAAGAUCAAUUGAGUAAUCAUAAGGACGAUGUUUCGGGAGUGUAUCCGCAUUCUUUUUUUCGAAUACAUCUUGAAAUUCUUGAUAUUGGCUUGGAAUGCUACUUAAAGUCUUUUCACCAAUAGAAACAUGUGUGGCAUAAAUAAUAUAUGGUGAUUCUUUCAUAGCAGCAUGCAAGAAAGCUUUUAUACCUAUAAAUACGGGUUUAAUUGAACUGGACUUAUGACUCUCUACUUGAUUAACUACACUGUUAGUUAUACUUUUAGAGAAAGUAAGAGUUCAAAAAAUCCAAUCUAUUUGAGGGUUGUAUUUUUCUAACCAUGAUAAACCUAAAAUGACUGGAUUAGAGGGAGAUCUAAUGAUAUUAAAUACUACAAAACUAUUAUGACCAUUGAUUAUUAGUUCUAUAGGAAGGAUUUUGUGAGUAAUAUCUCCAAAAAACAAUGGACGACUAUCUAUGACUUCUACAUGAACAGGUUUAGUUUUCUUUACUAAAGAUAUGUUAUGUCUUUUAGUAAAUUCUUCAUCUAAAAAAUAUGCUGAGGCUCCUGAAUCUAACAAGGCAGAGACUUUGUUUAGGUCCUAAAAUAAUAUUUAAUAUAAAACAAGGAGAGGGCUCUGAGGAGAGAAUAGGACCUUUACUAGAUGUUGUGCAAGGUUCCAGCCGCAUGGUCCCUAUUGUAGCAGGACAAACUCGUUUUUCAACAUAUUGUCUUCUUUCACAGCCAUACUCUUCAUUUUAUGAUUGCGUCAUUUCUUUGGACAAUGUUGAGUAGUGUGCUUUGGUUCUCCUCAAUAUAAAUAUAAUCCUUCUUCACGAUGAUAAGUCUUUUCUUACUGAAUAAGAGGUUUGAAAUGUAUUGCAUCAAUUUGCAUAUCCUCUACUUCCAAAUGUAUGUAUUGAAGAGGUGUUGGUGUUGCCAUUGAAUUAUAGUAACGUUGAGGUCCACUUGUAUGGUUCUCAGAUCGGAAUUCAAAAAGGCGAUUGUCGCACUUCACAGCAAAGUCAAUUGCUUGACUCAAUGUUUGAGGAUCAGGUAAGUUGAGCAUUAAUUUUUUUACCUCAUAUUGUAAUCCGUGGAGAAAUUGGCUAAUAAGUGCAACAUCAUCCUACUUGAUAUUAGUUGCAAGUUGUCAAAAUUGUGAAGCGUACAACGUUACUGAUCGAUUGUCUUAUCGUAAAAUAUGGAUCUUAUUGGUUGCAACACGAAUUGCAUCAUGUUCUCCAUACAUGGAUUGAAACUGUGCUAGAAAAGCCUCUAGAUUAUCUAAUAUUGGAUCUUGUCGUUCAAGAAAAGAUGAAAACCACGAUAGUGCUGAACUUGAAAGAAGCGUACCAAAUAAUCUAACUUAUGAUCCUCGAGUUGGAUAGCUUUGGAGUUGAAGUUCAAUCAGAAGUUGCACUUGAUUGAUAAAUCCUCGAAACUUAGAUCUGGUGCCAUCAAACUUCUCGGGUAGAGUAAUUCUUGGUUCUUUAACAUUUGAAGGACGUUCCACCAUGAGAGAAAGGACACGGUUUGGUACAGAUGUUGAAGCAGCUCCAACCAUUUCUAUAUCUUUACUUCCUACCAAUCUUGUUGCUCCUUGUGGUGGUAAAUUGAGUUGAUGCAUCGCAAGCAUUAAUUCCCUCAAUUGCUCUUGCAUUUGUGCCAUUGCACUCUUCAUUUUAAGAAGUUGUGCCAUGAUAACACUUAGAAAAGAGAUGAUGUCUAAUAUCGCUGAAGACAAAUAGAAGACAGUACUUAGGAACAAAGAAAAUACUAAGGAUAAUAUCAAUUUAGAAGAGGGUAAUCUGCAACUUCUAAUAUGCUUAUAUCUUAUCAUGAAAAAAAGGUAAUCCACUCUUAAUCAAGAUUAGACAAAGCUCUGAUAUUGUAGGUGCAUUCUUGUCAAUCUGUCAAGGACAAGAACUCGAUAAAAAUGAAAUUGAGACAAGUGAGCCUUCACUCAAAGAAAGGUAACAAAAUAUAAAUAAACAAGUAUGUAUAUUGAAAUAAAAACUGGAAUGGCUAUUGCCAAAAGAUAAGAAAACUAGAGACCCUUGAAACUAGACUAGAAGCAAGAAAAGAGUUGACAAGAGGGAAGAGGGGUCUCAUUCUUGUCUCUAUAUAUACUAUCUAACUAGGGGCUACGUGGCGAUGUUGUUGUGAUGUAAUACGAUUAAUAGGUGAAAGAGUAUGGAGGUUAUUAUAAUUUAGGAGAUCUUAGUUCAAAGUAUUAGAACAAAUUAUCUUAGAAGUAUAGUUAAUAGUCAAAGGGGUAGAAAAAUUAAAGGGUACCAAUGCUGCCUUUUAGAAAGGUGACUUCUAGUUACUUUGUAGUACCAUAAGUAAGGCAAAUCAAAGUAGAUUGGGAAAAUAAAUGAAAUAGGCAUCUUUAGAAGAAAAUUAAGAGUAAAUUCUAGAAAAAAGGUUACUUAGAAAAACUAGAUAUUGAUACCCGGAGAGGGCCGGUUAUGAACCAGGGUCGAAAUCAGACCCUGGGGCACAAAACCGAGUUUCGACAACGACUCCGGGGUUCUUUUGGAGAUCAAAGAAUGAGGUUUGAUAGCAGACAAAAUAGUUUUUCUAUAAACGUUGAUUUUGGAUGAUUUGGAGUUGAUAUAACUUUGUAAGAGCUUUGCAAAGUUGAGGUUUGUUUCGGAUGACUUGGAUUUUAUGAAAUAAAAUAGGUUUUACAAUUUGGGUGAUUUCAAGUGUUUUGUAAUAGAUCUACAGGUGAAAUUUUGUAUGUUUAUGGUUAUAGUUGUGUUUAAUAUGUUUGAUGAAUUUGAGCUCGAUCUAACAGUUAAAUUGAGGGAUAUUGAGGUUUAAGUGGAUCAAGGUCUUAGAAAGUAGAAUUUUAGGUCCAGUAGGUUUUUUUAAGAUUUCGUGCAAUCUACUAGUUGAAUUGGAGUGAAACUUAUGUUAACGGAUAUUAGACUUGUUUUUCUAUAUAUAGUAGAAUUUUGAGAUCAAUCGAACGGUGUAUAAGAGAGAUAUUGGCUAUGGAAGAUUGGCAUCAAGAUUGGAGAAGGAGGCCGACCAAUACCCGAGCACAUUUUUGAGGAUAUCGUCAAUUUGGUAACUCCGAUGUAUAUCAAAUUUUUUUUGUUUGUUCUUAACUUAAUUUUCUAGAAGAAUGCAAAUUUUUAGUUAAGAUAAACAGUUUAUUCAUUAGUUAUUGAGGUUUAAAUCUAUUGUAGGAUUUAUUGGAGUUUGGUUAGUAUUUGGAUUAGGGUCUGAUUUAGGGUUUGGUUUAGGAUUUAGGAUUUGGGUUAGGAUUUGAUUUAGGAUUUAGGAUUUGGAUAGGGUUUGGUUUAGGAUUUAGGGUUUGGAUUUGGAUUUGGUUAGGGAUUAAGGUUUGAUUAGGGUUUGGUUUAGGAUUUAGGAUUUGAAUUAGGAUUUGAUUAGGGAUUAAUAUUCGAUUAGGAUUUGAUUUAGGAUUUAGGAUUUGGUUUAGGAUUUAGGAUUUGGAUUAGGAUUUGGUUUAGGGUUUAGGAUUUGGAUAGGAUUUGGUUAGGGAUUAAGAUUUUAUUAGGGUUUGAUUUAAGAUUUAGGGUUUGUCUAGGAUUUGAUUAAGAUUGGAUUAGGAUUAGGAUUUGAUUAGAAUUUAAGGUUCUAUUAGAUUUUUGUUACGAUUUGAUUAAGUUUUUUUUAAUAUUCUUUUAUAUUUUUUUAGAAUUUCCUUGUGUUUCUUUUAUAACUUCAAUAAAAUUUAAUUGAGCUUGCUUAAUGUUUGAUUAUGAUUGUUAAAGUUUAAUUAUAAAUUCUCUAUAAUCUUGUUGGAUUGUUAGGACCUUUUGUUGCAAUUUUUUUUUAUCUUCCAUAGUCAGGUGCUUAGUGCAUUUGCAAGCAAGACUUCACGUAAUACGACAACGUUUUAUAGGACCUCCAAUAUGUGUUGACUUUGUAGGACACAUGCCUUGACUUAUAAGGCAAGUUUUUCUACAUGUGGGCCACAUAGUUACCUUGAUCUUCAAGGUAACAACAUGUGUGGCACAUGGCCAACUUAUUGACCACGUUUCUAAUCCAAAAAGUUAAUUAAAGACACCUAUGAAUUCAAAGUAGCAUCUAUGAAGCUUUUAGGAAGCUAACAUAUUAAAUAUUAUAUAAUUAACUUAUUUUUACCUACUUUUACUUACUUCCACCUAGUUAUAUAUGUAAUUACUAGCUUACAUGAGUAUGUCCAUGAUACAAUGCAGCCUUUUUAGAAAGGUGACUUCUACUUACUUUGUAGGGCCAUAAAUAAGACAAAACAAGGUAGAUUGGAAAAAUAAAUAGUAUAGAAAUCUUAAGGAAGAAGUUAAGAGUAAAUUCCAGUAAAAGUUAUUUAGAAAAACUAAAUGUUGAUAUCCGGAGAGGGCCGGUUAUGAACUAGGGUCGAAAUCAGAUCCUGAGGCACAAAACUGAGUCUCGACAACGACUCCAAGACUCUUUGGCAGAUCGGAGAAUGGGGUUUGAUAGAAGAUUGAAUAGGUUUUCUAUGGGUGUUUAUUUUGGGUGAUUUGAAUCUGUAUUGACUUUGUAAUAGCUUUGCAAAAUCAAGGUUUGUUUCGGAUAACUAAAUCCUAAACCAAACUCUAACCAAAUCCUAAACAAAUCCUAAAUCCUAAAUUAAAUCCUAAAUCCUAAACCAAAUCCUAAAACUUAAACUAAAUCCUUAAUCCUAAACCAAAUCCUAACCAAAUUCUAAAUCAAAUCCUAACCAAACCCUAAAUGAAACCCUAACUAAAUUCUAAAUUCUAAACCAAAUCUUAACCAAAUCCUAGUAAUUCUCAUAGUAGAUUCAAACCUCAAUAACUAAUGAUUGAACCGUUGAUCUUAACUCAAAUUUUUUAUACAUCUUAAAAACUAAGUUGAAAACAAUUAUAAAUCUUUUUUGAAAGGAUCAGAAUUAUCAAAUAGACAAUAACCUCAAAAACAUGCUCAAGUAUUGGCCAGCCUCUUUCUCCAACCUUAAUGCCAAUCUCCUAGAGCCAAUAUCUCUUCUUUUUACUAUUCGAUUGAUUUCAAAAUUCUCAUACAAAUAGAAAAACAAGUCUCAUAUCCUCUCAUUUAAAUUUCAUUCUAAUCCAAUUAAUAGAUUACGAGAAAUCUUAAAAAUUCUCACUAGACCUAAAAUUCUAUUUUCUGAGACCUUGACUCACUUAAACCUCAAUCACCCUCAAUUCAACUGUUAAAUCAAGCUAAGAUUCACAACACAUAUUAAACACACCUAUGACCAUUAACCCACAAAAUUUCACUUAUAGAUCUGUUACAAAAUUCUUGAAAUCACUAGAAACAUCAACCCUAUUUUAUUUCACAAAAUCCAAGUCAUCCAAAAACAAUCUUGAUUUUGUAAAUCUCUUACAAAGUCAUAACAACUCCAAAUUACCCAAAUCCAAUUCUUAUAGAAACCUUAUCUAGUUUGCUAUGAAAUCUCUUUCUUUGAUCUGCUAAAGAGUUGUCGAGUUGGUGUAGGUACUCGGUUUUGUGCCUCCGGGUCUGAUUUCGACCCAGGUUCAUAACCAGCCCUCUUUGGAUAUAAAUAUCUAGUUUUUUUAAGUAAUUUUUGCUAGAAUUUACUCUUAACUUCUUUCUAAAGAUGUUUAUAUUAUUUAUUUUUCCAAUCUACCUUAUUUUGCCUUAUUUUUAGUCCUACAAAGUAAGUAGAAGCUAUUUUUUCUAAGAAGAUAACAUUACUACUAAAAAUUUUACUACCUUCCUAUCUUUUAUCCAUAUUUUUUUUCUUUAUCUUUUUACUUUUCUCUUUUAUAAUAAGAUCCAUAUUAUUAUCUUUUACCAUAUAGUCAUGUUACAAUACGACACUGUACAUGUAGAAGUCAUAGAUGGUCAAUUUCUGUCUACUGGAAAUGUAACCUAUGAGAGUGUUCCUUUAGAUGUAAUAAUUAAAGACCAUAAAAGCAUAGUAGUAUUUAAUGUAAUAAGAUCUUUCUUUAAUCUGAUUAUUUUAGGAUUAUUGUGGCUAAAAAACUAUAAUCCUCAAAUAGAUUAGAUUUCUUGUAGCCUUAAUUUUUUUGAUAGUAUAAUCUAAAAUCGAAUUAGUAAAGUAGAAGUACAAAAGUCUAGUAGUUCCAAAUCUUUACUGGUAGGUGCGAGAGCUUUCAUGCAUAUUGCAAAAGAAGGAUCAUCUUUUGUUAUAUAUGCAAUACCUAUUUUUAAUGGUAAGAAAAUGUCAAGUGGUAUUCCUAGCCAAUAUGGAGAAUUCUCAGACAUUUUUGAAAUAAAGAAUGCAAAUAUUCUUCCAAAGUAUCGACCUUAUGAUUGUUCAAUUGAUUUAGAUGAAAGAACUCAAUCACCAUUGGAACCAAUGUAUAGCUUAUCGUAGAAUAAAUUGGCUGCAUUAAAAAAAUACAUUGAUCAGAACUUUGUAAAGAACUUCAUAUGCCAUUCUAAAUCUCCAACUAGAUCUCCUAUCUUAUUUGUGAAGAAGAAAGAUAAUUAUUUGCAGAUGUGUGUGGAUUAUCUAAAAUUCAAUAAGAUCACCAUCAAAAAUAGGUAUCUUUGAUUUUAAGACUUCUUGACCAACUCAAUCAAGCAAAGAUCUAUACCAAAAUAUAUCUACGAAGAGCAUACAACUUAGUUUGUAUCAAAAAAGAAGAUAAAUAGAAGACUACUUUUCAAACUAGGUAUGGACAUUUUGAAUAUAAUAUCAUGUCUUUUGGACUCACAAAUGUACCGACUACUUUUCAACAUCUUAUGAAUGAUAUUUUUUGUGAGUUUUUAGAUGAUUUUAUCGUUUGCUAUUUAGACGACAUUCUAAUCUACUCUAAGAACAUAGAAGAAUAUAAACUUCAUAUUUGUUGGUAUUACAGAAACUUAGAGAUGCAGAAUUAUAUGCCAAGUUAGAAAAGUGUAUAUUCCAUACUACUCAAGUUGACUUUUUUAGGAUACAUCAUUUUCAACUAAGGCCUUAUGAUGGAUCCAAAGAAGGUCCAAACUAUCAUAGAUUAGAAGAUUCUAAGAAUAAUACAAGAUAUGCAAUACUUUUUAGGCUUUAUUAAUUACUACCAAAACUUCAUCAAGAACUUUUCUUAAGUUGUAGCUCCACUUACACAUUAGACUUGUCAAGACAAACUCGAGAAGAAUAAAGAAACAAAAGCAUCAUUUGAUGUUUUAAAGAAAAAAUUUAUUUCUAUACCAAUUUUAUAUUGUGUCAACUUUUGCAAGGCAUUUUUUAUGGAAACAGAUACAUCACACUUUGCUAUGGAUACCGUAUUGUCACAAAUGGAAACAGAUGAUAAACUCCACCUAGUAGCUUUCUAUUCUAAAAAAUUUUCAGUAGUUAAAAUUAAUUAUGAGUUCAAUGAUAAAGAGCUUCUUACAAUCAUGGAUUCAUUUCAAGAAUAGCGCCACUAUUUAGAAGGCGCUUCAAAUCCUGUUAUCAUGUAUACAAAUCAUAAGAACCUUGAGUACUUCAUGUUAGCAUAUGUUUUGAAUCGUUUUCAAGCCCGUUGGAGCAUGUUUUUAUCCAGAUUCAAUUUCAAGAUCACUUAUCAAUUUAGAAAACAACAAGGUCUAUUAGACGCCCUUUCUAGAUAUUCUUAUCUUAUACCAAAAGAAGGAGAUACAUAUUUUCAUCAAUAAAGAAUGAUUCUCUUGAAGUCUAAGCAUUUUCAUCUUUGAGCAAUAAAAUCAACAUUGACUGUUGAUUCAAUCUUUAUCAAGCAAAUUUAAUUAAGUAUCAUGAUAUUAAGAAUCUCUCUUCUAAGACUUAUGAUAAUUCAAAGUUCAAGUUCAAAAACAACCUUCUCAUUUCCAAAGAACUCCUAUAUGUUAUAGAAAGAAAAGCUCGUUUAUGUAUUCUUUAAGCAUGUCAUGACUUUUAAGAGUAAGAUAUUUUUGAUACAAUAAGACUUUAGAGCUUAUAUUUAGAGAUUUUUCGUCGCCACAAAUGUGAAAGGCGAUAAAAAAAUUUGUACAAUUAUGUGAUAUUUGUUCAAGAUUCAAAUCUCCUUGCCAUAGAUCUUAUGGAUUACUUCACCUUUACAAAUUCUAGAACAAUGAUAGUCUUCUAUUUCUAUGGAUUUUAUCACGAACUUUUUAGUCUAACAUUUACAUGAUUCUAUAUUUGUAAUUGUAGAUUACUUCACCAAAAUGGUACAUUUUGUAUCAUGUAUAAAAUCUAUUUUAAGUGAAGAAACAACUAAGUUUUUUUAUUGACAAUAUCUAUUGCUAUCAUUGAUUAUUAAAGGAUAUUAUAUUGGAUAGGAGUACUCAAUUUAUAUCAAGAUUCUAAAAAAUCUUAUUUAAGAUUUAAAAGGUAGAUAUAAAGCUUUUUUUAACUUUUCAUUCUCAAACUGAUAGGUAAACAAAAUGGAUGAAUCAAAUUUUGAAAUAGUAUUUGAGGUGAACCAUAAACUAUCAUGAAGAUGAUUGGACAAUCCUUUUGCCAAUAGCACAGUUUGUAUACAAUAAUUUGAUACAUUUUUCUAUUCAACAAACAUCUUUAUUUAUUAAUUAUGGAUAUCAUUCACAAUUAGAUACUUUUUACUUUUUAAAAGUUAAUAAUCUUAACGUAAAAGAUUAAGCAAUUUACUUAUUAAAGCUACAUGUAAUGAUAAAUUUAUAAUUAAAAGAAGUUCAAGAAUGGCAAAAAAUCAACGUUGAUGCCUAUCACAAGGAGCAACCACAAUUCAACAUAGGUGACAAGGUAAGGUUAUUUCAUUGCAAUAUCAAGACUACUCGUCCUUGUAAUAAGUUGGACUAUCAUAGGCUGAGACCUUUUUCUAUUUGUGAAUAAAUCAAUCAUAUUGCUUAUUGAUUACAUCUACCAGAGCCUAUGAAGAUCCACCUUGUAUUUCAUGUUGUUGUGUUGUGGUUUGGCUGCUAUAUGAAAAUAAUUUAACUAUGUACUUAAUAUAUAAUUUACUAACUAACAUGGUGAGAGCCAUGUUAGUAGAUUUUAGUUGAUUGUAGAAUAUAAUUUGAUUAUUACCCUGAAAAGAAGUUGUUUAAAAAGAUUACUAUUGAAUUUUUAUAACUUUAAUUUCUUUUGAUAGUGGCUUUUAAGAUUGAUUUUGAUUGAUAGUAACUUCUAAAUAUUUAGAGUCACCUUUAUUAAACAAUGAUGACAUUUGAAAAUUUAUUUUGGGUUUUUUACUUGGUGUUAAGAGCAUAAAUUAUGUAAAUCUUAUAAGAAAAAGAGUUGAAGAAGGAUUUCAAUAACAAAGGGAGUAAUUAAGGCACCAAUAUAGAUGAAUGGAGAUGAAUGAUGAAAAUCUCCAUUCCAAUUGAUCAAAAAUCAUGACCAAUAGGCUUUGAGGAGGCUGUCCGAGGCCAUAUUAGAAAAUAGGGUUAGUUUUUUGGAACCAUUUGAACUUUGAAGACUAGGAUUAAAAAGUUUAGGUUUUUGGCUAUGGUUUUGGUACAAAUCUUGUAUAAUUUGGAAUUUAUAUGAAGGAGAUAUAGGCGCUCAAACUUAAGGUAUUGAUUUAGGAGCUACUGUCUUUCCUUUUGACAUAACGCACGCGUAUGGAGAGAAAUUGAAGAUUGACAACUGCGACUAGAAAAAGUACUUUUGCGACUACACUCUUUAUAUAUUGCUUACUAGAUUCUAAGUUGGAGUGAAGGAGAUAUUGGAUUUUAAAGUCAUCACAUGCAAUCUAAGGGUAGUAAGUGACCUGAUUUACUAGUGGUUGUAUCUUGAGCUAUAUCUUGAGUAAUUUGACAAGGUUUUGGCUCAAAAUUCCAAAGAAUGUGUAUAUUCAUGUUAGUAAACUUUAUACAUAAAUUUGAUGUUAUUUGAGUAUUGAAUUCUUGAUAUAUUAAGAAAAUAGUACUCAAGUGCUUGUAAAUUAGAGUUUAGAGUAUCUGCUAGGAUAUCUUAGAUGCCAAAAGAUCGGCAAUGAAUUUACAAUUGGUUUUUUUUAUAAUAAAAGUUAAAGGUGAAUUCUAUCUAUUCUAUAAAUUUGAAAAAAAUUAAAUGGAUAGAUCAAGAGUUAUGAAUUUUUAAAGUUUAGGAAGAAAAAACUUUUUGUGGGAAAAAUAUGUUUUGAAGGAAUUUUGCUAUAUUUUGAGUUUUAUGCAAAUUAAAAGAGUUUUGGAAGCUAAGACAAGAUACAUAUAAAAGUUUAAGCUAAACUCUCUAUAGCUAGAUAUCCGAUUUAUUUCUAGAUAGUAAAUCAUACAAUACAAUAACAUGUCCCUUCUUGAGUCAUAUAAGAUAGUGAAUAUUUUGAGAAGAAGACAAAUGCUACCUCCUCCUAUAGAAGUAGAUAAUAAUCAAGAAUUCAAGGUGGAAGAAGUUUUAGACUCAAGGCAGCACCAAAAUAGGUUAGAAUAUCUUAUUCAUUGACAUGGAUAUGAUAUUAAUGAAUGCACAUGGGAGCCAUCAAAGAAUCUUCAAAUGCAACAAAGAAAGUUGAAACUUUUCAUCAAAGAAAUCCAUCAAAAUCAAAAUGAAGAAUAGUAAAUCUUUGCUAUAAAAGAAAUAAGAUCAAAAGAAGAUAACAUUCUAUCUUUUAUCUUUAUUUGUAGCUUGUGUAUAUUUGUAAUGCUAAGGAGAUGGAGAAUCAACAACGAAGAGAUUCAAUUCGAGAGCUUUCAUUUGCAAAUUUAUUACAUGAGACAUUCUGAUUGUCACAACCUUCAAGAUGAUAGAAUCAAAAUAAACAUCUUCAAGAACAACUUGUCCUUCCUUGAAUAGAUAGUGAAAUACAACGUAUUUGGUAUCACGACCUUAGAAGAGACUCCUACUGUUUGAUGAUUUUAUUAGAGGUAGGAAUAAUUCCUAACGGUGUUCCAAAUAUAUUAUUUGAAAGAAGUAACGAAGGCCUUAACAACAAUUAAAUAACAAGGUGGUCUUCUUGUCUUAGUAUAGCAUACUAUCGAUGGUUGAGAGGACCUAUCAACCAUCUUUAAAGAAAUUAAAGAUCAGAGUAUGUGACAAAUUCAAUUUGCUGCAUCUUUGACUUCCUCAAUAUAUGAAGACUGCUCCUCAUGGAACUCGUUCCUAGAAUGGGAGAUAAUAUCAUGGAUAUAUAUAUUUAUUUUAAUAAUAACUUAUAUAAUUAGGUAGAAAUAAGUAAAUAUAGAUUAAUUUCAUAAAGUCUUGUAGUAAAGCUUCUUUGAAGCUUCAUAAACACGGUUUUGAUUUUUGAAGUGUUUGUAAGUCAGUAACUUUGCCAACAAGAUAAUCACAUGUUGAUAGCUUGUAGAACAAGCUAAUUCCUCAUAAUAACUUAUGGAACAAGCUAACCAUGUGGUGUAUAUAUUGAUAAUUUGCCUUAUAAGUUAAGGCAUGUGGCUAUCAAAGUCAAUAUGUUUUGGAGGUCCUAUAGGACAUCUCCAUAUAGAUCUUAAUUAAGAGUAUAUAUAGAGAUAAAAGUGAAGCCUUUUUCAGUCUUAUCAAUGUCAUUUUAGUAAUUAGUCUUGUUUCAAGACUUUUUAAUCUUCUUAUUUUUGACAAUAGCCAUUCUAGUUAGUAUUACAUUAUCUUUUGAGUGACUUUCUAGUCAUCUUCAAUGACACAAGUGUAUAUCAAGAAUUCUCUUUUUUUGAGAUUCAUGUCCUUGAGAGUUUAACAAGAGUGCUAACAUAUUAUUUUUGUCUUAUUUUAGAUAUAAGUGGAUUAUUCCACUUCUAUUAUAAUAUUUUGAAGGUUGUGGAUUAUUCACCUUUUAAACAAAAAGAUCUUAUUUUCUAACAUUGAUCUUUUCUUUCUUUGAGAUUCAUGUCUUUGACAAAAGAUGAGUCGAUACUAUCUUUUCAAGAAGCCAAUGGUUAUUUGCACUGACCAUUGAUCCUUAAUACAUGAUUUGCAUCUGAAAAAUAUAAAAUUAUGACAUCAUCAUUGAAAAGAAAGUUGUAGCUUUUUGAUAUCAUACUUGAGUAUAAGCAAGGAUGACAACAUAAUAUACUAGAUAGUUUAUCAUAGAGACCAGACUUGAAAGACAAAUCAAAAAAUAAGACAGUAGUAGCUACUUUUAAUAGUAUCAUUUCAAAUCUAAUCAAAUAGAGAGAAUAGAAAGAAGCUAUGCAAUAAGAUGCUUAUUUUAAGAUGAUUAGUAUUUUGCUAAAGAUAAGUAAUAUAUAAUAUCAAGAUUACACUCUUAGUGAUGGCUUGCUCUAUUUUAAGAAGUAAAUUUAUGAAUCUAAUAAUACUAAAUUUUGAAUAUGGAUACUUUAGCAGGGACAUGACAUCUUAAUAUUUGGACAUCUAGGACAAGAAUAGAUUCUAAAAUAGAUCUCAAAGACAUGAUUUGGAACAAGUUUGAAUUAUGAUGUUUGAGCCUUUGUAUACUCUUGUGAAUCAUGUCAAUGUAACAAAACUUGCAACACAAUAUCUUCUAGAUUAUUGCAGCCAAUUUUCCUACCUAUGGCAUAUUGGGAGCAUGUGACUAUGGAUCUCAUUACAUGUUUGAUGUAGACACCUUAUAAUCCUACCACAAUUUCUAUCUUUAUGGAUCGAUUUUCAAAGAAACUUCACCUGAUUGUGGUACACUCAAAUAUUCAUGCCUUAAUGCUUGUAUGAGUCUUCUUUGGUACCGUCUUUUAUCACCAUAGAUUAUCUUGUGUCAUCAUUUUAGACUGAGAUCUAUGCUUCAUGGAAAGUUUAUGGUAAGCCUUAUGCAAGCUACUAGAUAUACGACUUGUCAUGUCUACAACCUUCCAUCUCUAAAGAGAUAAGAAAAUAAAGCAUGCAAAUUGGACCUUAAAAGAUAUAUUGCAGGUACUUGUGAUGGUUCAUCAUAAUGAUUGAGAUGAAUACUUGAUGCCCAAGGAAUUUUCUUACAAGGAUAGUAUUUAAAUAAGUACUAGUCAUUUACUAUUUUUUCUUAAUAUUGAUCAGUAUCUAAUUAUGCCAACAAUUCUUCAUUGUUCCAUCAACUCCAACAACCUGACAUUGGAGGAAUUCAUACAACAAUUUAUAACGGUCUUACCAGAGGCACAACACUGUUUCAUUAUUGCAUAGAAUUAAUAGAAGCAAUAUGUGGAUAAUCAUCUAUAAUACAAGACCUUACGGGAGGAUGAUCAGGUGUUGUUUUUCAAUGCCAACUUGCCACUUGCUACAUCAAUCCAAAUCUGUAAACUAGCAUCUUGAUGGCUUAGAUCUUUUACAUUUUUGUAGUAUUUUUUGAUGUUACAUAUUGUUGUCGUAAUGUGUGAAGUCUUGCUUGAGAAUGCUCCGGGCACCUGGCUGUAGAAAGAAGAAUUGAAAUUGUAAUAAUAAAAUCUUAAUUCUAAUAGAAUACUAACAACGCUCUAAUUAGACUAUAAUAAUGGUAAAUAAACGUAAUCAAAUUCAAAACAACUCAAAGAAAUUUCAAACAAACAAUAAAAUUCUUAAAAAAAUAUUAGAAUGAUCAAAAAUAUUACUCAAAUAUAUGUCAAUUCAACCUUAAUUUAAUUCUAGUUAAAAUCCUAUUGAAUUUCACUCAAACUUUAGACCAAACCUAAUUAAAUCUUAAACCCUAAUAAAUCCUAAAUCCUAAGUCAAAUCCUAAACAUACCUUAAAUUAAACCCUAAAUCAAACCCUAUUUCAAAACCUAAAUCCUAAACCAAAUCCUAAAUCAAACCCUAAACCAAACCCUAAAUCCUAAUCUAAACUCUAAUCCAAAUCCUAAACUCUAAACCAAAACUUAAAUCAAAUCCUAAUUCAAACCCUAAAUCAAAUCCUAACCAAACCCUAAUCCAAACCCUAAUCCAAAGCCUAAAUCAAACCCUAACCAAACCCUAAUCCAAACCCUAAACUCUAAAUCAAAUCAUAAAUCGAACCCUAGCCAAACCCUAAUCCAAAUCCUAUUAAUUCCUAUGACAGAUUUCAACCUCAAUAUCUAAUGAAUAAACCGUUGAUUUCAAUUCAAAAUUUGCAAACUUCUUAAAAAUUAAGUUUAAAACAAUUAAAAAAAAAUUUGAAAAGGAUCGGAGUUACCAAAUUGACGAAAACCUCAAAAAUGUGCUUGGGUAUUAGCUGGCCUCCUUCUCCAAUCUUGAUGCCAAUCUUCCAAAGCCAAUUUCUCUUCUUUGCGCAGUUCGAUUGGUUUCAAAUUUCUCAUGGACAUAGAAAAACAAUUCUAAUACCGUGUCACAAAAGUUUUACUCCAAUCCAACUAGUAGAUUGCAUGAAAUCUUAAAAAACCUCACUGGACCUAAAAUUCUACUUUCUGAGAUCUUGACCCGCUUAAACCUCAAUAUCUCUCACUUCAACCGUUAGAUCGAGCUCAAAUUCACAACAUGUAUUUAACACAACUAUAGUCAUAACCCUAAAAAAUUUCACCCGUAGAUCUGCAACAAAACUCUCACAAUCACUCAAAACAUAAUCCUAUUUUAUUUCAUAGAACCCAAGUCAUCCGAAACAUAUCCCACUUUGCAAAUCUCUUAAAAAGUCAUAUCAACUCCAAAUCACCCAAAAUCAAUGCCUAUAGAAACCCUA
rnacentral:lncRNA from 1 species